rnacentral:rRNA from 1 species
AUUGAACGCUGGCGGCAGGCCUAACACAUGCAAGUCGAGCGGAUGAAGGGAGCUUGCUCCUGGAUUCAGCGGCGGACGGGUGAGUAAUGCCUAGGAAUCUGCCUGGUAGUGGGGGAUAACGUCCGGAAACGGGCGCUAAUACCGCAUACGUCCUGAGGGAGAUAGUGGGGGAUCUUCGGACCUCACGCUAUCAGAUGAGCCUAGGUCGGAUUAGCUAGUUGGUGGGGUAAAGGCCUACCAAGGCGACGAUCCGUAACUGGUCUGAGAGGAUGAUCAGUCACACUGGAACUGAGACACGGUCCAGGCUCCUACGGGAGGCAGCAGUGGGGAAUAUUGGACAAUGGGCGAAAGCCUGAUCCAGCCAUGCCGCGUGUGUGAAGAAGGUCUUCGGAUUGUAAAGCACUUUAAGUUGGGAGGAAGGGCAGUAAGUUAAUACCUUGCUGUUUUGACGUUACCAACAGAAUAAGCACCGGCUAACUUCGUG